rnacentral:rRNA from 1 species
GACGAACGCUGGCGGCGUGCUUAACACAUGCAAGUCGAACGGAAAGGCCCUGCUUUUGUGGGGUGCUCGAGUGGCGAACGGGUGAGUAACACGUGAGUAACCUGCCCCUGACUUUGGGAUAACUCUAGGAAACUGGGGCUAAUAUCGGAUAGGAGCUCUUGCUGCAUGGUGGGGGUUGGAAAGUUUCGGCGGUUGGGGAUGGACUCGCGGCUUAUCAGCUUGUUGGUGUGGUAGUGGCUUACCAAGGCUUUGACGGGUAGCCGGCCUGAGAGGGUGACCGGCCACAUUGGGACUGAGAUACGGCCCAGACUCCUACGGGAGGCAGCAGUGGAGAAUAUUGCACAAUGGGCGGAAGCCUGAGGCAGCAACGCCGCGUGCGGGAUGACGGCCUUCGAGUUGUAAACCGCUUUCGCCUGUGACGAAGCGUGAGUGACGGUAAUGGGUAAAGAAGCACCGGCUAACUACGUG